rnacentral:rRNA from 1 species
AAUGGGUCAGCGACUUAUAUUCUGUAGCAAGGUUAACCGAAUAGGGGAGCCGAAGGGAAACCGAGUCUUAACUGGGCGUUAAGUUGCAGGGUAUAGACCCGAAACCCGGUGAUCUAGCCAUGGGCAGGUUGAAGGUUGGGUAACACUAACUGGAGGACCGAACCGACUAAUGUUGAAAAAUUAGCGGAUGACUUGUGGCUGGGGGUGAAAGGCCAAUCAAACCGGGAGAUAGCUGGUUCUCCCCGAAAGCUAUUUAGGUAGCGCCUCGUGAAUUCAUCUCCGGGGGUAGAGCACUGUUUCGGCAAGGGGGUCAUCCCGACUUACCAACCCGAUGCAAACUGCGAAUACCGGAGAAUGUUAUCACGGGAGACACACGGCGGGUGCUAACGUCCGUCGUGAAGAGGGAAACAACCCAGACCGCCAGCUAAGGUCCCAAAGUCAUGGUUAAGUGGGAAACGAUGUGGGAAGGCCCAGACAGCCAGGAUGUUGGCUUAGAAGCAGCCAUCAUUUAAAGAAAGCGUAAUAGCUCACUGGUCGAGUCGGCCUGCGCGGAAGAUGUAACGGGGCUAAACCAUGCACCGAAGCUGCGGCAGCGACGCUUAUGCGUUGUUGGGUAGGGGAGCGUUCUGUAAGCCUGUGAAGGUGUGCUGUGAGGCAUGCUGGAGGUAUCAGAAGUGCGAAUGCUGACAUAAGUAACGAUAAAGCGGGUGAAAAGCCCGCUCGCCGGAAGACCAAGGGUUCCUGUCCAACGUUAAUCGGGGCAGGGUGAGUCGACCCCUAAGGCGAGGCCGAAAGGCGUAGUCGAUGGGAAACAGGUUAAUAUUCCUGUACUUGGUGUUACUGCGAAGGGGGGACGGAGAAGGCUAUGUUGGCCGGGCGACGGUUGUCCCGGUUUAAGCGUGUAGGCUGGUUUUCCAGGCAAAUCCGGAAAAUCAAGGCUGAGGCGUGAUGACGAGGCACUACGGUGCUGAAGCAACAAAUGCCCUGCUUCCAGGAAAAGCCUCUAAGCAUCAGGUAACAUCAAAUCGUACCCCAAACCGACACAGGUGGUCAGGUAGAGAAUACCAAGGCGCUUGAGAGAACUCGGGUGAAGGAACUAGGCAAAAUGGUGCCGUAACUUCGGGAGAAGGCACGCUGAUAUGUAGGUGAAGUCCCUCGCGGAUGGAGCUGAAAUCAGUCGAAGAUACCAGCUGGCUGCAACUGUUUAUUAAAAACACAGCACUGUGCAAACACGAAAGUGGACGUAUACGGUGUGACGCCUGCCCGGUGCCGGAAGGUUAAUUGAUGGGGUCAGCGCAAGCGAAGCUCUUGAUCGAAGCCCCGGUAAACGGCGGCCGUAACUAUAACGGUCCUAAGGUAGCGAAAUUCCUUGUCGGGUAAGUUCCGACCUGCACGAAUGGCGUAAUGAUGGCCAGGCUGUCUCCACCCGAGACUCAGUGAAAUUGAACUCGCUGUGAAGAUGCAGUGUACCCGCGGCAAGACGGAAAGACCCCGUGAACCUUUACUAUAGCUUGACACUGAACAUUGAGCCUUGAUGUGUAGGAUAGGUGGGAGGCUUAGAAGUGUGGACGCCAGUCUGCAUGGAGCCGACCUUGAAAUACCACCCUUUAAUGUUUGAUGUUCUAACGUUGACCCGU